GAUGAACGCUGGCGGCGGGCUUAACACAUGCAAGUCGAACGGAAAGGCACUGCUUUUUUGCGGUGCUCGACUGGCGAACGCGUAAGUAACACGUGAGCAACCUGCCCUAGACUUUGGGAUAACUUCAGGAAACUGGGGUUACUACCGGAUAGGAGCUCCUGCUGCGUGGUGGGGGUUGGAAAGUUGCGGCGGAUUGGGAUGGACUCGCGGGUUAUCAGCUUGUUGGUGGGGUAGUGGCUUACCAGGGCUUUGGCGGGUAGCCGGCCUGAGAGGGUGACCGGGCUCAGUAGGAGUGAGCUACGGCCCAGAGUAGUACGGGAGACAGGAGUAGGGAAUGUUGCACGAUGGACGCAAGCCGGAUGCAGCAACGCGGCGUGCGGGAUGGCGGACUGCGGUUUGAAAAGCGCUUUCGGCUGUGAGGGUGCGUGGGUGACGGUAAUGGAUGAAUAAGCACCGGCUAACUACGUG
rnacentral:rRNA from 1 species